rnacentral:rRNA from 1 species
GAUGAACGCUGGCGGCGUGCCUAAUACAUGCAAGUCGAGCGAACAGACGAGGAGCUUGCUCCUGUGACGUUAGCGGCGGACGGGUGAGUAACACGUGGAUAACCUACCUAUAAGACUGGGAUAACUUCGGGAAACCGGAGCUAAUACCGGAUAAUAUAUUGAACCGCAUGGUUCAAUAGUGAAAGACGGUUUUGCUGUCACUUAUAGAUGGAUCCGCGCCUCAUUAGCUAGUUGGUAAGGUAACGGCUUCCCAAGGCAGCGAUGCGUAGCCGACCUGAGCGGGUGAUCGGCCACACUGGAACGGAGCCACGGUCCAGACUCCUACGGGAGGCAGCAGUAGGGAAUCUUCCGCAAUGGGCGAAAGCCUGACGGAGCAACGCCGCGUGAGUGAUGAAGGUCUUCGGAUCGUAAAACUCUGUUAUUAGGGAAGAACAAAUGUGUAAGUAACUAUGCACGUCUUGACGGUACCUAAUCAGAAAGCCACGGCUAACUACGUG